rnacentral:misc_RNA from 1 species
GUUUGCACAGUCUCCUAUAAUCCUUUUGUUCCUAGUCUUCUUGCAACUGGAUCUACAGAUAAAAUGGUAAAACUUUGGGAUUUGUCGAACAACCAACCAUCAUGUGUAGCAUCAAAGAAUCCUAAAGCAGGAGCCGUCUUUUCCAUUUCCUUCUCAGAGGACAGCCCUUUCUUGCUUGCUGUAGGGGGUUCAAAGGGCAAACUGGAAUUGUGGGACACCUUAUCAGAUGCUGGGGUCUCUAAAAGAUUUGGGAAUUACAGCAACCAAAAUGGACCUCAUCUUGGGACAUGAUUGCAAGUGGAAGAUAUAAUUGUUUUUCAACGAUAGAAUGUGUAAUUAUCCGAGAAGGAUGUACAUUUCUUCCAAAAGUAAUGUUCAUUAUA